rnacentral:rRNA from 1 species
UACGGAAGGCAGCAGUGGGGAAUAUUGCACAAUGGGCGCAAGCCUGAUGCAGCCAUGCCGCGUGUAUGAAAAAGGCCUUCGGGUUGUAAAGUACUUUCAGUCGUGAGGAAGGUGUUAAGGUUAAUAACCUUAGCAAUUGACGUUAGCGACAGAAGAAGCACCGGCUAACUCCGUGCCAGCAGCCGCGGUAAUACGGAGGGUGCGAGCGUUAAUCGGAAUUACUGGGCGUAAAGGGCACGCAGGCGGUUAAUUAAGUUGGAUGUGAAAUCCCCGGGCUUAACCUGGGAAUGGCAUUCAAGACUGGUUAGCUAGAGUCUUGUAGAGGGGGUAGAAUUCCAUGUGUAGCGGUGAAAUGCGUAGAGAUGUGGAGGAAUACCGGUGGCGAAGGCAGCCCCUGGGACAAAGACUGACGCUCAUGUGCGAAAGCGUGGGGAGCAAACAGGGAUUAGAUACC